CACUGCCUCGAAAUCCAAGGGAGGGGAAAAAGGUCACCUCCGGCCCAAGGCUGAAAGAGCUGCCUCAUUUCUUUCUGGAAACAAUCUGCUCUUAAGCCCUAGCCAGGAGGCCGAGCUCUGAGCAUCCUGCCCCACAAGGUCAAAUCCGUUUGAAUGCGGCUGUCUCUCUUCUUCAAAGAGUUGGCAGUCCCGGCUCCCCGAGCACAAGCCUUUUCAGGAGGCGCUCAGAGUGACGAGGCGAUUCAGCUGUUACCUGCACAGACGUCCCUGAAAGCCCAAGACAAAGCUGAGUCUCCCGGCCAACCUCACAUUUGCUGACCCUGCGCUCAAGGACCACAGGCCUCGAGGGGUGGCUCUUGAACUGGGAGGAUUUAAACCACAUAAGGAAAGUAUUAAACCCAAAGAAUGCAAUCAUCUUGUCCCAUUGGAGACACCCCGUCGAUAUUUGUACGCAGAUAAAUCAUGCGUUGGCCAGAAGGAUGGGUAAGGGUGGGAAGCAACGAUAAAUCAUCGUGUAUUUCUCCUUAACCCUUGUGUUCUUGAGCAAACUGUCUCCCCAGGCUCUGUCACCAGCAUUGGCAGCUGAGGCAGCAAAUCCCAGCCUUCUUUCCAGGGCUUCUGUGUAAGCUCUGCUGGAACUUCUAAAUGCCCGGGUAGGGACUGACUUCUAAAAUGCUCACCCCAUUUAGCCUAUGUGUGUUGGGAAUGACUGAGUGGGGGUGAGGGUGUCCAUCGUGGGUCAAGGGCCCCACCGCUGGGGUCCAGUGGCCUGGAUUAGAGUCUGGCUCCUGGUUAGGCACCUGCUGUCUUGAGGCACUUAGGCAAGUGAGAGGGAGCCAGGUAAGAGGCUUGACAGCCUGGACACUUAGAUGCAGAAAGAACAGAGCAGGAACCAGGGCUCCCAUGCAACAGGUUUCAAAUCCUGGCUGUACCCCUCUCUUAGGUGUGCAACCCUGAUCACAGGACAGCUGCUCUGAGGCUCCGUGUCCUCAUCUGUGAGACGGGGAUCAGCCCUUCGGCUCGGCGACCUCAUGCCUGCAAGAGUCCGCUCCACAAGCCUGUCCAAAUACGCGACUGUGGGGCCGAGGCCCUGGUCUGUAAGCAACGGGGAUGCGUUCGCAGGAUGGAGGUGUGAGAUGCAUUCCCGAGAGGCAUUUUAUUUCUGUUGGAUGAUGAAAUGAUAACCAAGGGUACUUUAUGUCUCUCUCCAGGCUGCUGAGAAAACACGUUGUACCUAGAAAAAGUUGGCCUCGAGGGCCUGGGAGAUGGAGUCCAGACCCACUUCCUGUCCUGAGUGGGUCCCUUGCAUCCUCUGCUCCUGAUGGUCACAGCUUUCAAAUAAAAAGACUGAAAAAAAAAUAGGAUCUACUUAG
rnacentral:lncRNA from 12 species